rnacentral:rRNA from 1 species
UCCAGACUCCUACGGGAGGCAGCAGUGGGGAAUAUUGCACAAUGGGGGGAACCCUGAUGCAGCGACGCCGCGUGGGUGAAGGAGUACUUCGGUACGUAAAGCCCUAUCAGCAGGAAAGAAAAUGACGGUACCCGACCAAGAAGCCCCGGCUAACUACGUGCCAGCAGCCGCGGUAAUACGUAGGGGGCGAGCGUUAUCCGGAAUUACUGGGUGUAAAGGGAGCGUAGACGGCGAGGUAAGCCUGAAGUGGAAGCCCGCGGCGCAACCGCGGAACUGCUUUGGGAACUGUUUUGCUGGAGUAUGGGAGGGGUAAGCGGAAUUCCUGGUGUAGCGGUGAAAUGCGUGGAUAUCAGGAGGAACACCGGUGGCGAAGGCGGCUUACUGGACCAUAACUGACGUUGAGGCUCGAAAGCGUGGGGAGCGAACAGGAUUAGAUACCCUGGUAC